AUACUUACCUGCCGUAGGGAUACCGUGAUCAGGCAGGCGAUUUCCACAGGGUGAGGCUGCUCCAUUGCACUGCGGAGUGGUUGAUCCUUGCGAUUAUUUUUAUUUUUUUAUAAGUUUACUUCUACCGAGUGUGGUUUUGCACAUUGCAUACACACG